UAGGGCGCAAGCGUUGUCCGGAAUUAUUGGGCGUAAAGAGCUCGUAGGCGGCUUGUCACGUCGGAUGUGAAAGCCCGGGGCUUAACUCCGGGUCUGCAUUCGAUACGGGCUGGCUAGAGUGUGGUAGGGGAGAUCGGAAUUCCUGGUGUAGCGGUGAAAUGCGCAGAUAUCAGGAGGAACACCGGUGGCGAAGGCGGAUCUCUGGGCCAUUACUGACGCUGAGGAGCGAAAGCGUGGGGAGCGAACAGG
rnacentral:rRNA from 1 species